GGGCCGGUGGCGCAGUCUGGGAGCGCGCUUGCAUGGCAUGCAAGAAGUCGGGGGUUCGAAUCCCCUCCGGUCCA
rnacentral:tRNA from 1 species